CCCCUGUAUUCUGUAUGAGAGAGAUUAUUAUGUAUUUGAAAUUUAAAGUUUUUGGCGGCUAUUUAUUGUUUAGAGGAACUUGUUUAUUAAUAGAAAUUACUCUUUGUAUUUUACUUAUUUUUGUUUAUUUAUCUUCGUUAUUAGAUAGAAAUUAUAAAAAAUUGUAUUUAUAUUUCAGAUCAAGAUGUAGCAAAAAUUAGUUUAAAUUAGUUACAUUUAUGAAAAAAUAAAUAUUUAUUUAAAAUUAUGAAUUGAAAUUGAAUUUAGUUGUAAAUUUAUUUAGAAUAAUAAUUUGAAAUUGCAUAAUUAGUGUU
rnacentral:rRNA from 1 species